rnacentral:piRNA from 1 species
CCACUCAAUAAAACCUUGCACCCAUCCUCC